GUCAAAUUAGCAACGUCUGAACUUGAUGUUACCAAAAAAAAAAAAAAACUUUUAGCAACGUCAAGCCGCACCAAAACUCUAGUUAUGGUGAUUUCUCUGCCGCCUAGCAUUUUUCCUUUCCCAAAACCAAAUCCCUAAUCCCUAACCUUCCAACUCGAGCAGUUCACCAUCCUCAUCGCAGCGUGCGGCAGUUUCCUCCCAACCCGAGCAGUUCCAAACUUGUAGCAGCUCGUUAUUGCCGAACCAGGCGGGAGUCGAGUUGCCGAACGAGGCUGAGGUCGCACUCCUCCUCGCGGCAACUCUCAAAAUAUGGCUUGAUGGCUUAGAAGUCGAAGAGAGUCCAUUGGGGAGGUUGGGGGUACAGCUGAUGUAGCAACCAUGGAUGCCUGCGUAACGCCUAAUAUUGGUUCUAAUAGUACUAUGUUCCACAACAUCUAAUAUUGGUUCUAAUAGUAUUAUGUGCACACCACCAUGCUCCAAGAAAGGAUAAAGAGGCCUCACGAUUCUGGCUAAAGUUGCACAAAGGAGGGAAGAAGAUACAGUUGAAAUAGAAGUGGAUGAAUAUGGGCACCAGUUAAAAAAUGGAGUCAACAAAUGAUAUCUUGGAUUGGAGUUGUUCUAGAUGACUCCAAUGUGCCAAUUUAUUUAAAUAAUUGGAAGAGACUGCCUGUUUCCAUCAAGGAUAGAGUUGUUGCUCAAGUGAGGGCGAGUACUAGCUUAGCUUAUCAUCAAAUCCACAUUAUUAUGUAUGAUUUAUUUAUUUUAUAGUAGAGUAAGUACAGAUUCCUAGGCAUCACCGUUGAUUGGGUUGGUACGGGAAGCAGGGUCACAACUUUGCUUCUUCCGUUGUUGCAUCAAAAGAACAUUUUUUGAUGCAUACAAAUCGAAUUGAGAGAGAGUUGUGAUUAUGUACUUGGGGGCUUGUUCGACAGGAUUUAGAAAAAAAAUAUGAUCAAUCAUAGUUGCUAGAGUUUGAGGUAACAAUCUAUUUAAUGUUGAGCAUUGAAUAUAGUUUUGAAAAAUUUAAUAUUUUGAAAUUCACUAAUCUUAGUGAGUACUUUCAUAUGAAGUCACUCAAAAUGACCAAAAUUAAAGCAUUGAAUACAAUGCCCCAUCAUUUAGGGCGCGAGGUGUACUUCCACCACAUGCAUGAGAAGGUUGAAUCAUAGUAAUAUUUUAUGAAUUACUUAAAUUUUUUGUAUCAUUUGAUCUUUACUCCAACCUUUUUUGCAACACAAACUAUGGAGAGAACAAGAAGGUUGAUCCCCUCCAAGGCGAGAUGAGAUGUUUGAAGUAGGACACAAAUCGUGAGGGACAAGUACCUAACCUCAAAGCACAAAUAAAGGAGUUAGAGAGCCAAAUUAUAUCUUGGCACAAGUACCAGAGCAAUCUGGUGUGAACCCAAAAAAGGUUUUCCAAACUGAAGACAUUCAUUCUUCUGUGAGUUCAUUUGCUUAAUCAAGAGAUGUGUAUAUAGCAAUGAGGUAUUAGAAGAGAUGGAGCAACGCACGGAGCAGCGCAUGGAGCAACAACACAUGUAACAACAGCGAGAUAUGAUGCUUUCAAUGAUGCGCUCUGGUGUCGUGCCUCCCUAUGGAACAAGUGCUGCUAAUAUUUCAUUUUGUUUGAUUUAUAAAAAAAUAGUUAUUAAUAACUUAAUAAGUAUCUAUUGUUGAUUGUAAAUUAUAAUGCGGUCAAUUUUUCUGAAAAAAAUAUAACACUGAGAAAUAAAAACAAUAAUCAAGCAACAAACACUUGUAUAACAAUGUUGUGUCAUUAGGUUAUGAAAUGAUGUUAUUUUGAGGCCAUUUGCAUUCAAUAUGCAAUAGUCUAUUUACAGUGAACGAAUCAUAUAAUGGAACAACUUGCUUUUCUUUUUGUCA